rnacentral:miRNA from 1 species
UUUUAGUAUUUUGAGCUCUCUGUCUACCUCUCUCUCUCUCUCUCUCACAUACACACACACAGAGAGAGAGAGAGAGAGAGAGAGAGAGAGAGAGAGAGAGAGCUUGGUUAAGUGU